CCCUUAGAUGUUCUGGGCCGCACGCGUGCUACACUGAGUGGAUCAGCGAGUCAGGUUGCGCGAAAGCGUUUCCUAAUCUUUAAAUCCGCUCGUGAUGGGGAUUGACGGUUGCAAUUUUCUGUCAUGAACGAGGAAUACCUUGUAAGCGCGAGUCAUCAUCCCGCGCUGAAUACGUCCCUGCCCUUUGUACACACCGCCCGUCGCUCCUACCGAUUGAGUGGUCCGGUGAGGCUUUGGGAUCUGAGCGGAAAGAGCGUUUCGCUGUUUCUGCUCGGAAAACUCAGUCGAACCUUAUCAUUUAGAGGAAGGAGAAGUCGUAACA
rnacentral:rRNA from 1 species